rnacentral:rRNA from 1 species
AGAGUUUGAUCCUGGCUCAGAACGAACGCUGGCGGCGUGGUUUAGGCAUGCAAGUCGUACGCGAAAGUUCCCUUCGGGGAGCGAGUAGAGUGGCGAAAGGGUGAGUAAUGCAUAGGUAACCUGCCUGCGAGAUCGGGAUAACCUCGCUCCGGCUUGCUGGAGCUACCGAAAGGGGGGCUAAUACCGGAUGACAUCUCGGGGUCGCAUGGCCCUGAAAUCAAAGCGGGGGAUCAGCUUCGGCUGACCUCGCACUCGCGGAGGGACCUAUGUCCUAUUAGCUUGUUGGUGGGGUAACGGCCUACCAAGGCUACGAUGGGUAGCCGGCCUCGGAGGGUGACCGGCCACACUGGGACUGAGACACUGCCCAGACUCCUACGGGAGGCUGCAGUCGAGAAUCUUCUGCAAUGGGCGAAAGCCUGACAGAGCGACGUCGCGUGGAGGAAGAAGGCCUUCGGGUUGUAAACUCCUGUCACGGGUUAAGAAGGGUGUUCCGCCGAAUAAGCGGGGCUUCCGGACAAAGGCCCGAGAGGAAGCCACGGCUAACUCUGUGCCAGCAGCCGCGGUAACACAGAGGUGGCAAGCGUUGUUCGAAUCCAUUGGGCGUAAAGCGCGCGUAGGCGGUAGCGUAAGUCGGUAGUGAAAUCCCCCGGCUCAACCGGGGAAGUGCUUCCGAUACUGUGCUGCUCGAGUGUGGGAGGGGAGAGUGGAACUCUUGGUGGAGCGGUGAAAUGCGUAGAUAUCAGGAGGAACGCCGGAGGCGAAAGCGACUCUCUGGCCCACAACUGACGCUGAGGCGCGAAAGCUAGGGUAGCAAAAGGGAUUAGAUACCCCUGUAGUCCUAGCCGUAAACGAUGGGCACUAAGUAGGAGGAUCCCGACGAUUUUCCUGCCGUAGCUAACGCAAUAAGUGCCCCGCCUGGGGAGUACGGCCGCAAGGCUAAAACUCAAAGGAAUUGACGGGGGCUCGCACAAGCGGUGGAGCAUGUGGCUCAAUUCGAGGCAACGCGAAGAACCUUACCGGGGUUUGACAUGCAAGUGGUACUGACCUGAAAGGGAAGGGACCCCGAAAGGGGAGCUUGCACAGGUGUUGCAUGGCUGUCGUCAGCUCGUGCCGUGAGGUGUUGGGUUAAGUCCCGUAACGAGCGAAACCCUUGUCCUUAGUUGCCAUCACUUCGGGUGGGGACUCUAAGGAGACUGCCGGUGUUAAACCGGAGGAAGGUGGGGACGACGUCAAGUCAUCAUGGCCCUUAUGCCCCGGGCCGCACACGUGCUACAAUGGCCGGUACAAAGGGAAGCAAGACCGAGAGGUGGAGCGAAUCCCGUAAAGCCGGCCCCAGUUCGGAUUGAAGGCUGAAACUCGCCUUCAUGAAGUUGGAAUCGCUAGUAAUCGCGGAUCAGCCAUGCCGCGGUGAAUGUGUUCCCGAGCCUUGUACACACCGCCCGUCAAGCCACGAGAGCUGGUAGUACCCGUAGUCGCUGUCCCAACUCCCGAGAUUCGUCGAAGGAGAGGGAGGUGCCGAAGGUAAGACUAGUGAUUGGGACUAAGUCGUAACAAGGU